CGGGAUAUCGUAUAGUGGUAGUAUACACGUUUCGGGUGCGUGAGGCUUGGGUUCGAUUCCCAAUAUCCCGA
rnacentral:tRNA from 1 species